UACGAGGGGUGCAAGCGUUAAUCGGAAUUACUGGGCGUAAAGCGCGUGUAGGCGGCUCGUUUAGUCUGUCGUGAAAUCUCCGGGCUUAACCCGGAAAGGUCAGCCGAUACUGCGGGGCUAGAGUGCAGAAGGGGCAACUGGAAUUCUCGGUGUAGCGGUGAAAUGCGUAGAUAUCGAGAGGAACACCUGCGGCGAAGGCGGGUUGCUGGGCUGACACUGACGCUGAGGCGCGAAAGCUAGGGGAGCGAACGGG
rnacentral:rRNA from 1 species